GGAUUGUGGCUCAGUGGCAGAGCACUUGCCUUGCUUGCAUGAGGCACUGGGUUCAAUCCUCAGCACCA
rnacentral:tRNA from 1 species